UGUACUCAGGGACUCCUCAGCCUCCUAGUCUGCUGAGCCUCCUAGUCUGAUCCCCCAGCCCUCACCCGUGCACCUCGAUGUACCUUUAGCUUUCCAGGUGACCCUGAAGUAGUCUAAAGCUCAUUGAACCAGAUGGUAGUGGCUAAGCCAUUCCUGUUGUGCCUUAGAGCUAGGAUCUGGAGUUUCUGGCUUGGUGAUCAGCAGGGAAGAGUCCUUCCUGAGCAAAACAAUACAUAUGAGAAGCAGAAGUGCCACUUUACCCAAGGAUCAGUUCCAGUGCUCUUCCACAUGUAUAGCCACUGGACAAGGCACUUUGGACAGUUGUCAGGAACGUGGCCUGCCUACAGCAAACGCAACGCAGAGUGCCUUUAGAAGCAUUACCCUCAGCUGCCUGUAGGUGCUUUGACAAGUUUAAGUCCUUUCCUGGGGACAAAAUGCAUCCAAUGACUGGUUAUUUUGCGGUAGAAACACAUGUUCCUUUGACCCAAUUUGGGACAGUUCAGAAGGACAAUUUUAGCUUCAGAGUUCCCAAAGAUAUUGCCCAUUAUUGCUUCUCUCAUCCCUUCCAGACAUUGUUUCUGAGCAUACUUCUCGUAAACCACCUGCACACGAAUUUGUCUCAGUCUGUUCCCUGGGGAACCUGGCCUAUAACAAAUCAUUGUAGGUGGAGGAGCACCUGGGUGGCUCAGUCAGUCAGUUAAGCAUCUGCCUCAUGAUCCCAGUGUCCCGGAAUCCAGCCAGUUGUUGGGCUCCCUGCUCAGUGGGAAACCCACUUCUUUCUCCUUCUCUGCUUGCUAUCUCUCUCUCAAAUACAUAAAUAAACUCUUUUUUUUUUUUUUUUUUAAAAAAGGAGGGGCGCCUGGGUGGCUCAGUGGGUUAAGCCGCUACCUUCGGCUCAGGUCAUGAUCUCAGGGCCCUGGGAUGGAGUCCCGCAUUGGGCUCUCUGCUCAGGGCCUGCUUCCCUUCCUCUCUCUCUGCCUGCCUCUCUGCCUACUUGUGAUCUCUCUUUGUCAAAUAAAUGAAUAAAAUCUUUAAAAAAAAAAAAAGGAAAAAAAUUAUUGUAGG